CGAAGCACACGAGUGGCUCAUGCUGUAGAUUUGAGCCCUGGAUCUAUCACUGGCCACUGAAGUGAAACACUCCAGUGCUCAAAUCCACAGUAUGAGCCGCUCAUGUGCUUG